GCACUUUUUUCUUUUUUUUAAUAUUUUAAAAUAUUUUACUUUAAAAUAUUUUUUUCGAAAGUUUCAGGGGCGAACCAUUAUAUUAGAAAUCCUGGGGGGGUGGCAAAAAAGUUGGGACUGGGAAAAAAUUCCUGCAAGCAAACGCCACAACUUUAUUUAUCUAUUUAUUACACUUUGACUCGGCUCAACGGGCUUGGAAACUGCAACAGUUACAGCCAUUUACUGCGGAUCCAUUAUAAUACAGUACAUUAAGAUCAACUAACAAUAUUGCAACAUGAGCUCCACCUUUGAAUUUACUAUAUGAGUAAAUUCUUAAACACGUCCGAAUUUAUCAUUAUGAUAAAUUCGCGGCACAUUUUGAAUUUAUCAAUAGAGUUCAUCAUAAAACCACAAGCAUUACACAGGAUUUCUUGUUAUAAAUGUAAUGGCACUAAAAGGGAAGCUGGUCGCUGGAAGUUGGUUGGGGAGUUUUUCAUGUUUUUGAAAAAAAAAAGUUUUGGGGGAGGUUUUGGAAGAGUUUUGAAAAGCAAGAAAAGUUU